GCCUCCAACCAUCCAAUUUCGAACCCUAAUUUCUCAUAGAGAACAACAAUCAAUCCCAAAAAUGUUGAGACACGCUGCUAAGAGAAUCACAGGGUCAGGAUUAGCCCCGAGACGGUGGUCUUCACCGGCGGCGAACCGGUUUUAUCACGAGAGGGUUGUCAACAGAGAAGAGUUCUCCAUGGAAGGGUAAGUGUUCCAGUUAUGUUCUUGCAGAGACGGUGAUGACAGUGCACAAGCCAUCAAUGCACACACGGUCACCAACUUUGGUGAUAAAUUUGGUAUGAUUUUUGCACCAAGAUUAAUUAUAUUUUUUCUUGACAUGUUGGUUUUACAUGAAGCAUAAGUUAUUAGUAUUAAUUUUUCAUUUAAUUGAAACAUUACUAAGUGUAUCUUUGUUUAUGUGUUAUAUCUAUUAUCUAUCUAUUAUGUAUGAUAAUAAUAAUAAAAACAAUUUGGAGUUGUGGCGUGGGUUGCAGCCAAUUACAAAUCCGGCCAUUGGACCUUAGUAUGUACACGUAUUGUAGAAUUCAAAUCGUGUUUGUAUUCUUGUAGUAAAAAUAAAUGAAUUGUGGUCUCUCUAUGAAUUGUGGUCUCUCUCUAUAAACACAUCACUAUACCCAGUUUACAAAUCGGCUAAUUAACGAAGAGCUUUUCCCCUUUGGGGUCCCGAGCCGAGGUGCAAGAGCAUGUCCCUUUUCUAACAUGAGGCACAAGAGCAUGUCGCUACUCUGACGUGAGGCGCAAGAAUAACUGAAGAGCUGCACUGAAAAUCUUAGUGCCUUACCUGGCCUGAUUGUAGGUGCUGCUGUUGAAGGAGUUACUUAUUUCGUUCAUGUAAUAAAAGAUGAAGUUGAAGAUCUGAAAACAUGCCGACGACCAUGUUCCAUAUCGUUAUCGAAGAAGGUGGUUCUUGAUUUUCUUGAUUUACCAGCCAACUCGCAGUUCAAUUAUGGUGGUGAAAGUCGGUGCACUGGUGAAUUGGAGAAGAUGGGAACACUUGCAAAUGUGUUCAUUGGGAUAAUAGUGUACCCAGCAAUGGCUAUCUACAUUCUCUCCGUGAUCUAUCUUAUGUUUCACACCGAUGUUGUGGUCACAUUCCUUGAACCGAAAAAGGUUGAUCCGAAUGCACAAAUUUGGUUGGAAAAUGAACAAUAUGGUGUUGAUAGAGAAGAUCUUGCUCAUACCCCAUCGCUAGAAUAGUGAAACUAACCAAAAUCUUUAAGGCGGAGACUUUUAAUUUGCAAUUGUAUUCUGAAUAAGUGUUCAGUUUGGAUAUAGCGUAAGCGUUUCCUUACCCAAAUUUUCGUUCUUUUAAUAUAUUAGGUUUUUGUAAUUUUAUUGUUCAUGUUUUGCACAAGAAUGGAAUAUAAAUGU